CUGUCAGUGUCAGGGGUGCAGUGUGUGUAUGUGUGAGGGUGCUGUGAGUGACAGCAUCCACACACACUGCACCCCUGACACUGACAGC